ACUUAUGUGACUGCAGAGAGGAGGACAGAGGACAGUGGACACACACUUUAACAUGAUGGACUAUAGGACAGGACUGCUGCUUCUAACUGUCUGCUGGGCAGGUGUUGAUGCUCAGACUCUGACUCAAUCUGAACCAGUGGUUAAAAGUCCUGGAGGAUCCCACAGACUGACCUGUACAGGCUCUGGGUUCACCUUCAGCAGCUACUAUAUGGCCUGGGUCAGACAGGCUCCUGGAAAAGGACUGGAGUGGGUUGCUACUAUCAGCACAAGCAGUAGUUAUAUCUACUACUCUGAGUCAGUGAAAGGCCGGUUCACCAUCUCCAGAGACGACUCCAGCAGUAAACUCUACCUACAGAUGAACAGUCUGAAGACUGAGGACUCUGCAGUGUAUUACUGUGCCAGAGACCCACAGUGAGAGACAAUAACAGGAGAGUCUUACAAAAACUACUUCCUCUAUCUUCAACCAUCACUGAACGUUCAGAUGUGAACACCUGUGACAUGAAGCCACCAGAGGAGGAGCCCUCAGACCAACAAUGAUUCUAUCAUCAGAUCAAAAACUGCUUUGAAAUAAAGGUUUUAUCUCACUCAAA